rnacentral:rRNA from 1 species
CAAGGACUUAGCCAUGCAUGCCUCAGAAUCACUGCAUUGCAGGAAUCUGCGCAUGGCUCAUUACAUCAGACGUAAUCUGCCGCAAAAAUCUUGCGGUCUCCGCAAAAUUGGAUAACUUGGCGAAACGCCAAGCUAAUACAUGAACCAACCGGAUGUUCUCUGUUCCGGCGGCAGGGCAACCUGCUGCCAUGGGACGUCCAGCGAAUGAAUGAAAGUAAAACCAAUGCCUUCACCGGCAGUAACACUCAGAAGUGUUGAUUCAAUUCAUUCCGUGCGAAAGCCGGGUUUUUUACCCGGCGUCUUUUGACGAACAACUGCCCUAUCAGCCAGCGAUGGCCGUGUAGUGGACUGCCAUGGCGUUUACCGGAGCGGGGGAUUAAGGUUCGAUUCCGGAGAGGGAGCCUGAGAAAUAGCUACCACUUCUACGGAGGGCAGCAGGCGCGCAAAUUGCCCAAUGUCAAAAAAAAAAAAAGAGGCGU